rnacentral:rRNA from 1 species
AACGCUUCGGCGUGCCUAAUACAUGCAAGUCGAGCGAGCGGAACUAACAGAUUUACUUCGGUAAUGACGUUAGGAAAGCGAGCGGCGGAUGGGUGAGUAACACGUGGGGAACCUGCCCCAUAGUCUGGGAUACCACUUGGAAACAGGUGCUAAUACCGGAUAAGAAAGCAGAUCGCAUGAUCAGCUUUUAAAAGGCGGCGUAAGCUGUCGCUAUGGGAUGGCCCCGCGGUGCAUUAGCUAGUUGGUAAGGUAAAGGCUUACCAAGGCGAUGAUGCAUAGCCGAGUUGAGAGACUGAUCGGCCACAUUGGGACUGAGACACGGCCCAAACUCCUACGGGAGGCAGCAGUAGGGAAUCUUCCACAAUGGACGCAAGUCUGAUGGAGCAACGCCGCGUGAGUGAAGAAGGUUUUCGGAUCGUAAAGCUCUGUUGUUGGUGAAGAAGGAUAGAGGUAGUAACUGGCCUUUAUUUGACGGUAAUCAACCAGAAAGUCACGGCUAACUACGUGCCAGCAGCCGCGGUAAUACGUAGGUGGCAAGCGUUGUCCGGAUUUAUUGGGCGUAAAGCGAGCGCAGGCGGAAGAAUAAGUCUGAUGUGAAAGCCCUCGGCUUAACCGAGGAACUGCAUCGGAAACUGUUUUUCUUGAGUGCAGAAGAGGAGAGUGGAACUCCAUGUGUAGCGGUGGAAUGCGUAGAUAUAUGGAAGAACACCAGUGGCGAAGGCGGCUCUCUGGUCUGCAACUGACGCUGAGGCUCGAAAGCAUGGGUAGCGAACAGGAUUAGAUACCCUGGUAGUCCAUGCCGUAAACGAUGAGUGCUAAGUGUUGGGAGGUUUCCGCCUCUCAGUGCUGCAGCUAACGCAUUAAGCACUCCGCCUGGGGAGUACGACCGCAAGGUUGAAACUCAAAGGAAUUGACGGGGGCCCGCACAAGCGGUGGAGCAUGUGGUUUAAUUCGAAGCAACGCGAAGAACCUUACCAGGUCUUGACAUCUAGUGCCAUUUGUAGAGAUACAAAGUUCCCUUCGGGGACGCUAAGACAGGUGGUGCAUGGCUGUCGUCAGCUCGUGUCGUGAGAUGUUGGGUUAAGUCCCGCAACGAGCGCAACCCUUGUUAUUAGUUGCCAGCAUUAAGUUGGGCACUCUAAUGAGACUGCCGGUGACAAACCGGAGGAAGGUGGGGAUGACGUCAAGUCAUCAUGCCCCUUAUGACCUGGGCUACACACGUGCUACAAUGGGCAGUACAACGAGAAGCGAGCCUGCGAAGGCAAGCGAAUCUCUGAAAGCUGUUCUCAGUUCGGACUGCAGUCUGCAACUCGACUGCACGAAGCUGGAAUCGCUAGUAAUCGCGGAUCAGCACGCCGCGGUGAAUACGUUCCCGGGCCUUGUACACACCGCCCGUCACACCAUGGGAGUCUGCAAUGCCCAAAGCCGGUGGCCUAACUUUCGGGAAGGAGCCGUCUAAGGCAGGGCAGAUGACUGGGGUAAGUCGUAACAAGGAGCCUAGGAGAACUA